UAAAAAAAUAAAAUUUCAUUGACUCUGC
rnacentral:piRNA from 1 species